AUGCUCCAUAGCACAUACUUUGAAAUUAGAACCAUACAGAGAAGGUUAUCAUGGCUCCUACACAAAGAUGACAUGAAAGUUCCUGAACUAGGUUACGUUUUU
ensembl:snRNA U6 U6 spliceosomal RNA